UACUUUGACCGUGAAUAACUCUCUCAUCUUAACGAAUUUGGACAAUCUAUAAAUUGGGUCUUGUAGAGGAAAUACAAGACUACAAGAUCCAACAAUCAUAACCUCUAAACAAACAUCAGAUCUGGGAUAAAUCAGCCAUCAAAGUAGCUACCAAAGCUGUUCUUCACGAAGAACAGUUCGAGGUGCCUACUUUGGACCUCUAUAACUUGAUGAUCGUGUAACGUUUAUGUGAUCUAUCAAUUCCAGUGUGUAGACAACAUGUAGGACUACAACUCUAACACUUAACAUCAUCAUAACAACAAUAAAUCAAGUAUUUAAAGUAUGGUCAAACCUUGUAAGAAAAAUCAACACCUAGAAAAUUCUGGGCUGCCCAGAAUUUUCCGGUCAAUGCCGGUCAA
rnacentral:lncRNA from 1 species